rnacentral:rRNA from 1 species
UGAACGCUAGCGACAGGCCUAACACAUGCAAGUCAGGGGCAGCACAAGGAGCAAUCUGAGGUGGCGACCGGCGCACGGGUGAGUAACACGUAUGCAACCUGCCUGUAAGCGGGGAAUAACCCGUUGAAAGACGGACUAAUACCGCAUAAUACUAAAUUACUGCAUGGUAAUUUAUUUAAACAUUUAUGGCUUACAGAUGGGCAUGCGCAUGAUUAGCUAGUUGGAGAGGUAACGGCUCCCCAAGGCAACGAUCAUUAGGGGUUCUGAGAGGAAGGUCCCCCCACACUGGUACUGAGACACGGACCAGACUCCUACGGGAGGCAGCAGUGAGGAAUAUUGGUCAAUGGACGAGAGUCUGAACCAGCCAAGUCGCGUGCAGGAAGAAUUGUCCUAUGGAUUGUAAACUGCUUUUGCAGGGGAAUAAAGUGCAUCACGUGUGAUGUUUUGUAUGUACUCUGCGAAUAAGGAUCGGCUAACUCCGUGCCAGCCGCGGC